ACAAAUUCAAAAGACCUGACAGUAUUUACACAUUAUUUAAUGUUCCAUUUAACAUUUUAAAAUUUAAAAUCUUCUCUUUCAGAAAUCCAACCGCAACAAGGUAUAGCAUCAUCAUAUAUAAGAAGAAUCUGGUAGUACUCAUGGGGAGGGAUGUACUGACUGCUUGCGGCUCAGAUGUCCCUGGACUGACUCAGUGGACUCCCCCUAUUUACAACAAAUGCCCUGUUACCUGCAGUGAACAGUCAAGGCCCAGAUGCCAAAUCUCCUGCUGAUCUCUCCACAACUUGACUCAUCACUAUCACAUUUAAGACAGACUACUUUGAGAUCAUCUACCAUCCUCACCACUUUAUAGAAAGAAAGCCCAGAGAAGUCAGAGUUCAAGGUGAUAUGUAGUGAAAUUAAGAAGGGUCAAUGCAGUUGCCUUCUUACUAGUUCUUGUCCCAGGCAGAUACUAUGUUCUUAUUCAUUUUUAUGUUCCUUCAUUAUGUCUACCAUGAUGUAGUAAGUACUAAAUAAUUGUUUAUUAAAUCAAUGAAUUGAAAGAAAAUAAGCUCUUUUGUUUUUUAGUGGUAAGAUGUAUUAGUAGAUGUCUCUAGUGAUUGCAGUAUUGAAA
rnacentral:lncRNA from 1 species